AUGAGUCCGGUCAAGCUGGUGGGACGCAAUGCCGGAAAAGUUGCCUUGGAUGAAGGUGACCAACGGAAAUUGAACUUAACUGUGCGAUGUUCGUUGGGAGAGGUUGAAGCUUGUGCUAAAUUGCUUGAGAGUCGGGUGAAGUCUAACAUUUCCCGCCCUCUAAUGGGAGUUUUGUACCUGAGGAUAGAUGCUGAUACGAUGACUCUUGACAUGGGUGAGGCUAAUAAGAAGCUUCGCAUCACUAGCGAUGGUAUACAACAAUUAUUUGGGUUCCCUCGUGGUGGUCGUUCUCCGCCAAGGCCGUCAGAGGAUGGAUAUGACGACGCUUUGAUGAAGUUAAGAUCGGAGCUGGACAUUAGCAGGAACAUAGAUAUCAAGACAAAGGAUUUGAGGAAUAAGCUCAAGGUGCUCGUCAAGGAUCCUAGCAAAGAUGACCUUGCUCUGAAAGUGUUCUUCAUUAUUGUGUUUAUGAAGGUUGUGUUGCCUUGUUCCGCCCCGCGUGUUUCCAGAGAGGCAGCAAUGUUUGAGGGUCUCGUCUUUGAGGACAUGGCUAAUAUGGAUUAUUGUCAGCUGAUGGUUGAUGAGCUUAGAAGGGCUGUUGUCAGGAACCAAGAUGGUGUUACCCUUGGGAAGGCAAUCACAGGCUGUGCUAUAGGGCCUGUACUAAUGUACCUUGACUGCCUUAUCCGUGGCAAGACUGCGGAGCCUGACAUGCGAGUCCCCCGCAUAUGUUUCAUGGAUCAUGUCAAGCUUUAUGAUCUGGUUGAUGCAGAUUUGAUAAAAAAGGCAAUGCAGAUCCAAAGACUUGGGUGUUUGGGAAGCUUUCGCCCUGCUAGUACUUCACAGAGGCAGGGUUUUGGUAUUGAUGUUGCUAUUUCUGCGUUGGAGCGUGCUGAGCAUAUUUUAAGUAAUGUGUGUUCUGAGCUGCAAAAGGUCCCAACGACAGUUGAGCGUCUGAGCUGUAUCAAUGGUAUCCUUCCUGAAGGUCAUCAAUUUAACGCUGAGGAAGCAGUGGACUAUAUUGAGAUGGAGAGAAUUUUUAUUGGUGAAAUGCGUGACGGUGCUGCUGAUCUAGUUCCGAGCUCGGUUCGUCUGUUGAACAACAUGAAGCGUUUCAAAACUAUGCAAGACUCUCGCUGCAAGCCAUAUGAAGAAAGUGCAAAAGUUGUUAUCAGGCAGAUUGAGCAGGAUGAGGCUGCUGCCACCGACAGCAGGGCUGGUGAUGGUACUGAGGCUAAUGUUCCUGAUCAUGAAACGAAUGAUGUUGGCUUGGAGCGCGCUGUUGUUGAUCAGGAUGAGGCUGCUGCCACCGGCAGCAGGGCUGAUGAUGGUACUGAGGAUAUUGUUUCUGAUCACCAUAUGAACGAUGUUGGCUUGGAGCACCCUGUUGUUGAUGAGACCAGUCAUAAUGUUGAGGCUGCUGUUGACCAUGGAGUUAAUGAUCCAUCUACUGAUAAGUGCAAGGGUCCUGUUGUUGGCGACGAGCCUUGUUCGCCCGUUGGUGAUGUUGCUUUGAAUGUUAGCAACAGCAAGAUCGAUGAUGUUUCUGUGAAUGCUUCUAAGAUGAUGCUCAUGGUGUUCCAUUGA
rnacentral:rRNA from 1 species